GCAAAGUAUGAUGGGCAUGGGAUUGAGUUUGUUUUCUUCCUGAUAAGAUUCAACGUACUGCAGGAUUUUAUAUACUUGAUUCAAACGGACAAGACAGAGACUAGAAUCAUGAGGAAAUAACAAGUGAGUGUUGACGAUGAGAAUUUCCUGACGAAUAUCAUUGUUUCGGCACUGUGAAAACGGAACUGCUAAUUCAACAUGUAAUAGCUGCGCG
rnacentral:misc_RNA from 1 species